UACGUAGGGUGCGAGCGUUGUCCGGAAUUAUUGGGCGUAAAGGGCUCGUAGGCGGUUUGUCGCGUCGGGAGUGAAAACUCAGGGCUUAACCCUGAGCCUGCUUCCGAUACGGGCAGACUAGAGGUAUGCAGGGGAGAACGGAAUUCCUGGUGUAGCGGUGAAAUGCGCAGAUAUCAGGAGGAACACCGGUGGCGAAGGCGGUCUGCUGGGCAGUUUCUGACACUGAGGCGCGACAGCGUGGGGAGCAAACAGG
rnacentral:rRNA from 1 species